CCUGCACUGCGAAAAUGAGCCCCCAGGACAUAUGGCUGUGACAGUGGGGCUUCAAUAUGGGAGAUCUAAAGGGCUAUAGGAAACAGAGACUCCCCUCUUAAAGGAUGCACACAAGAUCCAUACACUCCAAAACUCAGAUUGAGGCAGUAUGUAUGUAUGUAUUUUUGCCUUUUUAGGGCUGCACCUGCUGUAUAUGGAAAUUCCCAGGCUAGGGUUGAAUCGGAGCUGCAGCUGCUGGCCUACACCACAGCCACAGCAACACAGGAUCUGAGCCAUGUCUGUGACCUACAUCACAGCUCAAGGGAACACCAGAUCACCGACCCACUAAGCAAGGCCAGGGAUCAAAACCCAGUCCUCAUGGAUACUAGUCAGGUUCGUUUCCACUGCACCACAAUGGAAAUUUGAAGGCAGUAAUUUGAAAGAAGCCCAAGUCAGACCCAUUUGUUGAUCUUGGAGACCCUCUCAGAGGAGAAGGAGGCGACUGAGACUCCCCUUGGACACACAGUGGCUGGUGCAGCCUCUGGGGAUCUCAUUCUACCACAUCACAAUUAAAAUGGCAAACAUUAAAAGCAGAGGAUUCCAAAAGAACAGAAGAAAAACAAAGAGACAUAUACAGUAGGACCCCCAGAGGGCUAUCAACUGAUUUUUCUGCCCAAAAUUUGUAUGCCAGAAGGGAGUGGCAGAUAUAUUCAAAGUGCCGAAAAGAAAAACCUGUGAAGUAAGAUGUUCUACCCAGCACAACUAUCAUUUAUAAUUGAAAGAGAGAUAGAGAAACUCAAGUGAAACUAAAAGAGUUCUGCAAUGCUAAAUCUAUGCUGAAAGAAAUGGCAGUAAGUAUAUACAUAUCAAUAAUCACUUUAAAUGUCCAUGGACUCAAUACACCAACCAAAAGAUAGGAUGACUGGCUGUAUAAAAAAAUAAGGAGCAUCUACACACUGCUGAAAAGACUCACGGCAGAGCUAAAGACACACACAAAUUGAAAGUGAGGAGAUAGAAAAAGCUAUUUCAUGCAGAUGGAAACAAGAAAGAGGGGGUAGCAAUACUCAAAGCAGAUGAAAUAAAUUUAAACAGCAUGGUAAGGGCACAAAAACAGAUGCAUAGUUUAGUGAAACAUAGUACAGAGCCCAGAAAUAAACCCAUGGAUUUAUAGUCAAUCUCAGAGAAAGGAGGCAAGAAUAUACAAUGGAGAAAAGACAGUCUUUUCCACAAGUGGUGUUGGUAAAACUGGACAGCUAUAUAUAAAAUAAUGAAAUUAGGACAUUUUAUUAUACCUACAUACAAAAAUAAAAUCAAAAUAGAUUAAAGACCUACAAGUAAGACCCCAAAUCAUAAAGUUCUUAGACGAGAACAUAAGCAGAGCACUGUGACAUAAAUUGCAGCAAUAGGAGUUCCUAUUGUGGCUCAGCAGAAACGAAUCUGACCAGCAUCCACGAGGACAGAGGUUCAAUCCCUGGCCUCACUCAGUGGGUUAAGGAUCCAGCAUUGCCAUGAGCUGUGGUGUAGGUCAGGGAUGGGGCUUGGAUCCCAUGGCGUUGCUGUGGCUGUGACAUAGGCUGGCAGCUACAGCUCCAAUUUGACCCCUAGCCUGGGAACCUCCACAUGCCAAGGGCGUGGCCCUAAAAAAGACACACACACACACAAAGACACACACACACACACAAAUUGCAGCAGUAUUUUUUUGGAUUUACCUCCUAAGGCAAUGAACCGUAUUCUAAGAGUGAGCCUGACCUAAGUUAUAGGAGUCAUCCCUCCACCUAUAACUGGUGCUAUGAGUGAAUUCCCUUCAGGCUGAUCCCCAACACUUCCGACUUCACCUUCCAUGAAAAUGAAGGAUGGACGAUAUUCAUUCAUCUUAUUCCAACUGCAAGGCUUUCACAGCUCGGCACCAUCCACAUCUCUGGCCUUACCUUCCACCACUCCACCCUCAUGGAUCAGAAUCAUUCCAGUUUUUCCAAAACAUGUCCUGUUCUCUAAUCCCACUGCCCCUUUGGGCAUGGCAUUAAUUUAAGCCUGGUGAAUUUUCUCCACACUUACCCCAGCCCCUCCCCCAUUCCUAUUCCAUUCCUCUGUACUCCUUGGAUGUCUUGCACCGAUUAGCUGAAAUCUUGCAAGCUUUUUCAGACUCUAUCUUCCUCUUUGGCUUGGCUGGCCAUAAUCCAUGUUCUCACGUUGAUUAAAAAUGCUUCUAUCAUACAUUGCCACUGUGGAUGUUUCUCUAUCCCAGCCAUGAGACAGAGAACUCCUUGGGAUUGAUGAUGGUGGCUAUUUCCUUAUAACUCCAGAGUUUAGUAGAAUGCCUGGUUCAGAGUCAUUUCUCAUCAACCAUUUUUUAAGGUAGUUUUUAUUUUUCCCCAUUUUUAAAAAUUUUGUUGAAGUAUUCUUGACUUACAAUGUUGUAAUAAUUCGUGUUGUACAACAUGAUUCGUCACCAACCAUUUUUAAAUCAUGCAUAGAUGGGUAGAUAGCUAAAUAGCUAGGUAGAUAGAAGGGUGGACAGAUAGAUAGAAAGAAAGGAAAGGAAGGAAGGGAGGAAGGAGGGAAGGAAGGAAGGAAGGAAGGAAGAAAGAAAAAGAAAGAAAGAAAGAAAGAAAGAAAGAAAGAAAGAAAGAAAGAAAGAAAAGAAAGAAAGAAAGAAGGAAGGAAGGAAAGAAAAGAAAAGAAAGAAAGAAUAGUGACCCUUUCAUCAGAAAAUGAAAUUUUUUCACAUGUUUGAUUUUGUCCUCCAUCCAAGUAGAGUAGGGUGUGGCAUUAGGAAGCAGCCUCAUUCACUGUAUGAGGCAGAUACUGUCAGGUCUUUUCCCGGCAUAAUUAUUAAUGUGACUCUGGAGAAAAUAAAAUCCAACGUCUGGGGCAGGUGUGUGUGUGUGUGUGUGUGUGUGUGUGUGUGUGUGUGUGUGUGUGUGUGUGUGUGUUGUGAUGACGGAACAUGGAAGUGGACAGAGAGACCUUGAGGAAGUGGACUUUAAAAGCAGAGUGUAAGGUAGAUGAGAACUUUUAUUGAUAAGGGAAAAUUCUAACCAGCCAAGCCACCUGCUUUCUCAGAUCCAAAGGCACAGCAGAACCCUUUUCUUGGCAACUUCAUUAUUGGGCCUCUCCUUCUAGUUGGCCAGUCCCUGUUCUAGCACUUUCCAUCUCAGAAGGUAACACCGAUAUUCUCCCCUCAGCUAGAUGUUCUGUCAGAAACAUAGCUUUCUCUGAAGGAAAAAGAAAAGAAUCCAAAAGAGAGGCAGAGAGCUUUGCAUUCCCUUUGGACCCUAAGCCUCAUCUUCUUUGGACCCACUAUCUAACUUCUAUAGGAAUUCUGGCUCCAAGGCUACUUAAUGCCUAUUCUCACUGAUGACAUAAAUAAGAUGUUAGAAAAAUUAGAUCAGGUCCAUGUGCUGGAACAGAAUAGAAACUCCCAAUAUACUUUUACAAUGGCUUCCAUACAUCUUUUUACACACACACACACACACACACACACACUCAAACACAAAGCAAUGCAGAUCAUCCCGAAUGUCCUAAUGGGGUUUUAAGCUCUAAUAACUUCAGAAGGCUAAGUGCGACAAACUUAAAACAUGAUCUUUUGAAUGCUUACUUAAAUUUAUUGUAUAUUCGUGAAUUUUGAAAGAUUUUUCAUUUCUUCAGUCAGCAUUCUCCACCUUUAAUCAGAGCUGCUGCCACAAAAAAUUAAAAUUUAAAAUAUGUCCUUGAGAAUAACACCUAAAACGGAUCUCGGACUUUCAUCUGGCUGCUCUGUACCUACGUUUAAUAUCUUUUGUAUUCUCUGAUGAUUUCUGAUCUGUUCAAUUAUACUCUUCUGUGUUUUAUUUAAUGCUAUUAUAUUCUGUUGGUCUGUUCUAAAUACUGAUCUCACCCCCAUGAAUUGGUUUCACGACCCCCUGAAGAAAAAGACAGCUCUAGAAGGCAGGCUCGGCAUGCCUGGUGAAGGAAAGGGAGCCCCUUCCUUGGUUCAAGAGCUCAGUCCUUCUGAGCCGGGGUGAGGUGCAGGUCCAUUCAUUUCCCAACUCCCUGGUGAAUGAAAGCCAUUUGAGCAAUGAUGGGAUGGGGCCUGGGGGCAGUCUUGAUACAGAAAACAAUUCCCUCAAUACCGGCAGAGUGGACAGUGCCCCCGGCUGUG
rnacentral:lncRNA from 1 species